rnacentral:rRNA from 1 species
UACGUAGGGGGCUAGCGUUGUCCAGAAUCAUUGGGCGUAAAGAGCGUGUAGGCGGCCCGGUAAGUCCGCUGUAAAAGUCAAAGGCUCAACCUUUGAAUGUCAGUGGAUACUGCCGGGCUAGAGUCCGGAAGAGGCGAGUGGAACUCCUGGUGUAGCGGUGGAAUGCGCAGAUAUCAGGAAGAACACCAACGGCGAAGGCAGCUCGCUGGGACGGUACUGACGCUGAGACGCGAAAGCGUGGGGAGCGAACAGG